rnacentral:rRNA from 2 species
CCUACGGGUGGCUGCAGUGGGGAAUCUUGGACAAUGGGCGCAAGCCUGAUCCAGCCAUGCCGCGUGAGUGAAGAAGGCCUUCGGGUUGUAAAGCUCUUUUACCAGGGACGAUAAUGACGGUACCUGGAGAAUAAGCCCCGGCAAACUUCGUGCCAGCAGCCGCGGUAAUACGAAGGGGGCUAGCGUUGUUCGGAAUUACUGGGCGUAAAGCGCACGUAGGCGGAUUGUUAAGUCAGAGGUGAAAUCCCGGAGCUCAACUUCGGAACUGCCUUUGAUACUGGCAAUCUAGAGUCCGGAAGAGGUUAGUGGAAUUCCCAGUGUAGAGGUGAAAUUCGUAGAUAUUGGGAAGAACACCAGUGGCGAAGGCGGCUAACUGGUCCGGUACUGACGCUGAGGUGCGAAAGCGUGGGGAGCAAACAGGAUUAGAUACCCCGGUAGUC